AUUGAACGCUGGCGGCAUGCUUUACACAUGCAAGUCGAACGGCCGCGCGGACUUCGGCCUGGCUGCGAGUAGCGAACGGGUGAGUCAUGCAUCGGAACGUGCCCAGUAGUGGGGGAUAGCCCGGCGAACGCCGGAUUAAUACCGCAUACGACCUGGGGGUGAAAGCGGGGAGCCGAGGGGCCUAGCGCUAUUGGAGGGGCCGAUGUCGAAUUCGCUAGUUGGUGGGGAAAAGGCUUACCAAGGCGACGAUCCGUAGCUGGUCUGAGAGGACUACCAGCCACACUGGGACUGAGACACGCCCCAGACUCCUACGGGAGUCAGCAGUGGGGAAUUUUGGACAAUGGUUGCAACUCUGAACCAGCCAUGCCGCGUGCGGCAAGAAGCCCCCCGGCUUGUAAAACGCUUUUGUCCGGGAAGAAACCCUCUGGGCUAAUACCCCGGGGGGAUGACGGUACCGGAAGAAUAGGCACCGGCUAACUACGUG
rnacentral:rRNA from 1 species